rnacentral:rRNA from 1 species
AGGCCUAACACAUGCAAGUCGAGCGGAAACGAUGGAAGCUUGCUUCCAGGCGUCGAGCGGCGGACGGGUGAGUAAUGCAUGGGAAUCUGCCCGAUAGUGGGGGAUAACCUGGGGAAACCCAGGCUAAUACCGCAUACGUCCUACGGGAGAAAGCAGGGGAUCUUCGGACCUUGCGCUAUCGGAUGAGCCCAUGUCGGAUUAGCUUGUUGGUGAGGUAAUGGCUCACCAAGGCGACGAUCCGUAGCUGGUCUGAGAGGAUGAUCAGCCACAUCGGGACUGAGACACGGCCCGAACUCCUACGGGAGGCAGCAGUGGGGAAUAUUGGACAAUGGGCGAAAGCCUGAUCCAGCCAUGCCGCGUGUGUGAAGAAGGCCCUCGGGUUGUAAAGCACUUUCAGUGGGGAUGAAAGCCUUGGGAUUAAUACUCCCGAGGAAGGACAUCACCCACAGAAGAAGCACCGGCUAACUCCGUGCCAGCAGCCGCGGUAAUACGGAGGGUGCGAGCGUUAAUCGGAAUUACUGGGCGUAAAGCGCGCGUAGGCGGUCUGAUAAGCCGGUUGUGAAGGCCC